CCGGGNGAGCCCGCCGGAGGGCACUGCUUUAGGGGGACGAANAAGCCAGGCGAGACGAGAGGGGCCGGCCCNCGGCGNACGGCACAGNAACACGGGGAAAACCCGCCCAAGGGAAGGGGANAACCCCGGGAAACCGGGGACAACACCCNACAGGACACAGAGGCGGGAAGGCGCCGCAANCAAAAGCGCCGGCGCCCGAGGAAGGAACGGCGGCCGAGNAGGGAGGGGGGGGGGAAACGGCCCAACAAGCCAGNAANCGGAACGGGAGGGGGGAGCAAGAGCCCGGAGGNGGAAACCGAGACACGAAACCAGGCCCGACGGGGCGCAGCAGGCGCGAAAACAAAACAACGCGGGCAACCGGGAGAAGGGAACCACGAGCGCCGGGAAAGGCAGGCAGGGCAGAAGCCCAAAACACANCAGGAGAAAGGGCCGGGCAAGACCGGCGCCAGCCGCCGCGGAAAGACCGGCGGCGCGAGCGGAGGCCACAUAAAGAGGGCNAAAAGCGACCGGAGCAGGGAAGCAAAGCCACGAGGGAAACCAGGCGGCUUAUCCGUCAGGCGUCUAAGGGAUACUGGCAAUCUUGGAACCGGGAGAGGUGAGGGGUACUUCGGGGGUAGGAGUGAAAUCCUGUAAUCCUCGAGGGACCACCUG
rnacentral:rRNA from 1 species